UACGGAGGGGGGCGAGCGUUAUUCGGAAUUAUUGGGCGUAAAGGGCGCGUAGGCGGCCCGGUAAGUCAAAGGUGAAAUCCCUCGGCUCAACUGAGGAACUGCCUUUGAAACUGUCGGGCUUGAGGCCGGGAGGGGGUAGCGGAAUUCCCAGUGUAGCGGUGAAAUGCGUAGAUAUUGGGAGGAACACCGGUGGCGAAGGCGGCUACCUGGACCGGUUCUGACGCUGAUGCGCGAAAGCUAGGGGAGCAAACGGG
rnacentral:rRNA from 1 species